rnacentral:rRNA from 1 species
GAGUUUGAUCGUGGCUCAGGAUGGACGCUGGCGGCGUGCCUAAUACAUGCAAGUCGAGCGAACGGACGAGAAGCUUGCUUCUCUGAUGUUAGCGGCGGACGGGUGAGUAACACGUGGAUAACCUACCUAUAAGACUGGGAUAACUCCGGGAAACCGGAGCUAAUACCGGAUAAUAUUUUGAACCGCAUGGUUCAAAAGUGAAAGACGGUCUUGCUGUCACUUAUAGAUGGAUCCGCGCUGCAUUAGCUAGUUGGUAAGGUAACGGCUUACCAAGGCAACGAUGCAUAGCCGACCUGAGAGGGUGAUCGGCCACACUGGAACUGAGACACGGUCCAGACUCCUACGGGAGGCAGCAGUAGGGAAUCUUCCGCAAUGGGCGAAAGCCUGACGGAGCAACGCCGCGUGAGUGAUGAAGGUCUUCGGAUACGUAAAACUCUGUUAGUUAGGGAAGAACAUAUGUGUAAGUAACUGUGCACAUCUUGAC